CCUACGGGUGGCAGCAGUCGAGAAUUAUUCACAAUGGGGGAAACCCUGAUGGUGCGACGCCGCGUGGGGGAAUGAAGGUCUUCGGAUUGUAAACCUCUUUUGUCAGGGAACAAAGGCGGGGACUAGUCCCCGGAUGAGGGUACCUGAAGAAAAAGCAUCGGCUAACUCCGUGCCAGCAGCCGCGGUAAUACGGAGGAUGCGAGCGUUAUCCGGAUUUAUUGGGUUUAAAGGGUGCGCAGGCGGCCUGUUAAGUCAGCGGUAAAAGCCCGGGGCUCAACCCCGGCGAGCCGUUGAAACUGGCGGGCUGGAGUUGGAGAGAAGUACGCGGAAUGCGCGGUGUAGCGGUGAAAUGCUUAGAUAUCGCGCAGAACCCCGAUUGCGAAGGCAGCGUACCGGCUCCACACUGACGCUGAGGCACGAAAGCGUGGGUAUCGAACAGGAUUAGAUACCCUAGUAGUC
rnacentral:rRNA from 1 species